rnacentral:rRNA from 1 species
ACCGUGGUAAUUCUAGAGCUAAUACAUGCUAAAAUUCCCCGACUUCUGGAAAGGGAUGUAUUUAUUAGAUAAAAAACCAAUAUCGCGCAACCGAUUCCCUUGGUGAUUCAUAAUAACUUUUCGAAUCGCAUGACUUUACGUUGGCGAUGAAUCAUUCAAAUUUCUGCCCUAUCAACUUUCGAUGGUAGCAUAGAGGCCUACCAUGGUGGUAACGGGUAACGGGGUGUUAGGGCACGACACCGGAGAGGGAGCCUGAGAAACGGCUACCACAUCCAAGGAUGGCAGCAGGCGCGCAAAUUACCCAAUCCCGACAGGGGGAGGUAGUGACAAUAAAUAACAAUACGGGGUCCUUUCGGGUUUCGUAAUUUGAAUGAGUACAAUUUAAAUCUCUUAACGAGGAACAAUUGGAGGGCAAGUCUGGUGCCAGCAGCCGCGGUAAUUCCAGCUCCAAUAGCGUAUAUUAAAGUUGUUCCAGUUAAAAAGCUCGUAGUUGAAUUUCGGGAUUAGUGCGCCGGUCGUGCCUUCGUUAUGUACUGGUGUUACUGGUUCCUACCUUCUGACGAACCGUCAUGUCAUUAAUUUGGUGUGGCGGGAAAUCAGGACUGUUACUUUGAAAAAAUUACAGUGUUUAAAGCAGGCUCGCGCUUGAAUACAUUAGCAUGGAAUAAUGAAAUAGGACGUUCGAUCCUAUUUUGUUGGUUUCUAGGAUUGACGUAAUGAUUAAUAGGGAUAGUUGGGGGCAUUAGUAUUGAAUUGUCAGAGGUGAAAUUCUUGGAUUUAUUGAAGACUAACUACUGCGAAAGCAUUUGCCAAGGAUGUUUUCAUUAAUCAAGAACGAAAGUUAGGGGAUCGAAGACGAUCAGAUACCGUCGUAGUCUUAACCAUAAACUAUGCCGACUAGGGAUCGGAUGAUGUUAUUUUUAAUGACUCAUUCGGCGCCUUACGGGAAACCAAAGUGUUUGGGUUCCGGGGGGGAGUAUGGUCGCAAGGCUGAAACUUAAAGGAAUUGACGGAAGGGCACCACCAGGGGUGGAGCCUGCGGCUUAAUUUGACUCAACACGGAGAAACUCACCGGGUCCAGACAUAGUUAGGAUUGACAGAUUGAGAGCUCUUUCUUGAUUCUAUGGGUGGUGGUGCAUGGCCGUUCUUAGUUGGUGGAGUGAUUUGUCUGGUUAAUUCCGUUAACGAACGAGACCUUAACCUGCUAAAUAGCUAGGCUUAACUUUGUUAGGUCGCCAGCUU